rnacentral:rRNA from 1 species
CCUACGGGAGGCUGCAGUGGGGAAUAUUGCACAAUGGGGGCAACCCUGAUGCAGCGACGCCGCGUGAGCGAUGAAGUAUUUCGGUAUGUAAAGCUCUAUCAGCAGGGAAGAAAAUAACGGUGCCUGACUACGAAGCCCCGGCUAACGACGUGCCAGCAGCCGCGGUAAUACGUAGGGGGCAAGCGUUAUCCGGAUUUACUGGGUGUAAAGGGAGCGUAGACGGCGGUGCAAGCCAGAUGUGAAAGCCCGGGGCUCAACCCCGGGACUGCAUUUGGAACUGUGCUGCUAGAGUGUCGGAGAGGCAGGCGGAAUUCCUAGUGGAGCGGUGAAAUGCGUAGAUAUUAGGAGGAACACCAGUGGCGAAGGCGGCCUGCUGGACGAUGACUGACGUUGAGGCUAGAAAGCGUGGGGAGCAAACAGGAUUAGAUACCCUUGUAGUC